rnacentral:rRNA from 1 species
UACGGAGGGUGCGAGCGUUGUCCGGAAUCACUGGGCGUAAAGGGCGCGUAGGUGGCCCGUCAAGCGCGCGGUGAAAGCCCGGGGCUCAACCCCGGGUCGGCCGUGCGGACUGGCGGGCUCGAGCACUGUAGGGGCGGGUGGAAUUCCGGGUGUAGCGGUGGAAUGCGUAGAUAUCGAGAGGAACACCUGCGGCGAAGGCGGGUUGCUGGGCUGACACUGACGCUGAGGCGCGAAAGCUAGGGGAGCGAACGGG